rnacentral:lncRNA from 1 species
AUAUAUUUUGUGGUUCUGUUUUUAACAACUUCAAUUUGCAUCUAAACACAUUGAAAGUUUUAUCGAAAAUAGCAAGGAAAAUAGAAAAUAUAUUUAUUUUAUUAAUAAAAUAAUAAAAAAAUUGCCAUAAUAUUCCCUUUUCCUAUUUGGAGCAAAUCUCUUAAUUCUUAGAUACUAUUAUCUCCUAAAAGAAAAGGAAUGUGAGGUGUGAAGGACGACAGACUGCCUCCCUAUAGAGGUCGUGUAUCGCAUGUGCCUUAUCGAGAACAUUCAAACAAAAACUACCGUAGAUUCAUGAGAGAAAUUGUUAGAAAUUUAAGAGCAGCAGCAGACACCGCAGAAGUUUAAUUGAGUUUAGAACUUGGUAGCGAUGGCAACAGUAAAGAGGAGUAAUCUGUGUGUUUACAAUAAAGUAGCUGAACAACAAAAGAUCUUUAUUUAACAAUCCAGUGAUCCCACUCGAAGCCUUUGGAAGUUCAUAGAGACUUACUUAGCGAAAAUUGAGACCAACCAGUUUCCGGAAAAUGUUUAAUCUUCAGCAAUAUUUAUUUUGUCGCCUUCAAAAUAUGCUCCUUUUGAAGCCAUACACAUAUGCCAACUUUUUUUUCCAAUCAUAGAAACAUGACUUCUAGGCACUGUCCGGGAACUGCCGUCAGUUUCUUCGGCGAAUUUUCUUUUACUGCCUCAAUGGAGUAUAAACGGGUUCCACGGAGUGGUAACUUGAGUUUUGGAACCAAAAAAAGUCGCAUGAGCCCAAAUCCGGCGAAUGCCGUGGUUGAUCGAUGGUGUUGAAGGAGUUUUUGGUCUUAAAAUCGUUCACAACUACAGCUCGGUGCGAUGGUAAAUUCUUGGCCCACGUGCAUAUUUCUUUUUUCUAGACAUUCAUUUUUUAACGAAGUGGAUCUAUUUAAAAAAAAUGUUUAAUAUACAUAUAUUUAUGGUACGAUUUUGUUAAAUUUUAAAAUUAAAUGCUUUUGCUUCUCGGAUAUGGCGAGUUAGAAGGUUCUCUUAUAAAGAAUGUACCAAAAUCAACGUAAGAAAUAAUAAGACGUAAUGUAAUAGUAUAUAUAAUGGUCAUUAUGUGUUUAUGACUCAUUGAAAAAUCAUAAACUGAAGAUUUAAAGCUUUGUUUUCUAUUUCAUUCAAAUCUUGCGUUAAUUUUGAGAUCAACUCUAUUGGCAACAUGCAUAUGUAACUCCGAAUGCAGGCCUACAAAAACUUGGAAUUGCAGAUCAAAAUAAAAAAAACACGAUUGGGUUGAUUUAAAAAUCUCGGACAACAAUCUGAGCCUACCGAAUUCUCUUUUAUAAUUCUGUCUAUGGGUUGGUAGAGACCGAAAAAAUCACUGCCCCAAAAAAAACUUUGGGGUCUCCUCAUAAUGUUUGAUAUUAGACGAAUUAUGGCUGACUCACAAUUCAUCACAAUCAUGACGUAAACUCAAAGGCAUCCAUCUCGUGGCCUUUGUUCUUAAAUUAUUUAGGCAACAACUGAGACCAAAACCGCAGAUGGGAAAAAAUACCUAGGAAUGUGUAGCACCUCACUGGUGAGGCGAGGCCGCUUUGGAAGAAAUAAUAUUAAAUAUGUAAAUAUUAGCCGGGAAAAUAAAAGA